UUUCCGUAGGUGAACCUGCGGAAGGAUCAUUGUCGAAAGCUUGCGUAGUGUCGGUGGACAUGCCAACUUGUUGGAACAUAUACAGGGGGUGCUGCUUCGUCUCUCCUCGUGGUCGAUUGGUAUGUGUGGUUGAGAGGCCAUGUGUACCUCUUCUUAGCUCCCAAACCGGCACGGGACGUGCCAAGGAAACUAAAUUGGAAAUGUUAUCCCCUAGCCCUUGCAUGGAGCAUGCAUGGGAUUCGAGGAGGAGACAUGUGAAAAUGUUGGUGUGAUCGAAUGACUCUCGGCAAUGGAUAUCUCGGCUCUCGUAUCGAUGAAGAACGCAGUGAAAUGCGAUACUUGGUGUGAAUUGCAGAAUCUCGUGAGUCAUUGAGUUUUUGAAUGCAAGUUGCGCCCGAAGCCAUUUUUUUGGUCGAGGGCACACCUGACUGGGUGUCAUGUAUUGAGUUUCCUUGAGACCUCCUCCUCCAUGAGAUGCAUUGCUUGGUUGAUUUUCAUGGGGGGAGGGGGUGAGUGACCUCUUGGGUGUACGUUGGCCUCCCGUUCCCUUGGUGUGCGGUUGGUUUAAAUUUGGGGUCCUUGGCGGCAUGCGUCGUUGAUGAGUUGUUGUAAACAAUGUUUGACCCGUGUUGGCAAGUGACCCAGCGCGGUCCCAUGGCUUCCUUGACACUUAAGAUGGAUUUUCCAUUUCGACCCC
rnacentral:misc_RNA from 1 species